CAGCCACAUCAUAUUGAAACACCAGUUCCCGUUCGAUCACUGAAGUUAAGCAACGUCGAGCCUGACCAGUACUUAGAUGGGUAAACGCUUGGAAAUACCAGGUACUGUAA